CGGUGUGGGACGCGGCAGCAGUAACAGAGGCGUCGCCAGCCAUGAAGGCCGCGCUCGCAUCGAGUGUCCUCCUGCUGCUGCUUCUGCUGGUACUGCAGGCGCCUGCGGAGGAGCCUGACAACUGGGAGCGCCGCGAAGUGUGUACUCCUGGCGAUACGAUGACGAAAGACUGCAACGAUUGUUUCUGCAUCGACAGGGGACAAUGGAUGUGCACUCUCAGGAAAUGCGGCAAGCAGAAAAGACAGGCGAGAUGCCCGCCUGGGACUACGUUCCUGAGGAAGUGCAGCAGGUGCGUCUGUGACGAUGACGGAGAAACGGCCAAGUGCACCAGGACAUGCCCUGGCAAGUAGAAUGGAUAAAUCCUUCCAAUUUCUUCAAACCCUUUUUCCAUGUGUUCACUGUAUUUUUUAUGAUAACUUGGUCCUUGAUAUAAGACUUUAUCCUUGUGUUUAUCAGUGUAAUUGAUAUAGCAAUAAAAAAUACUUGGUUCAUAUUUUGUAUAUUUCAUAGUAUACAACUUGUGCGCGUUUAUCCUUAUAAUAAUAAAUAAAUAGUAUAAAAUCAGUUAUUUAAGUUUAAUUUUGUUAAAUUUAUCUUUUUGUUGCUAAGUUUAUACUUAUUUUUUAAUAUAUCCUUGUAAUAUCCUCUGUUAAAAUCAUACUCUGAUAGUACAGGAUAAUUUUGAAUGAACUUAAAAGUUUUUUUUUUCAUUUUUGGAUUUACUGACAGUUAGGCACUUUUAAUAUCAAAAUCUCAAAAUCUGCAUAAAUAAUAAAUGAAACAUUCUGUGUAUGUUGAUAAUUUUUAAAACUUACUGAGUUACAGCUAAGUGGAGAAUCAACACACCACAAAUAAAUUUUACUUUUUUUCAAUUUGCCCCAAAACAAGCAUGGAUAUAAUUUU